rnacentral:rRNA from 1 species
CAGCAGCCGCGGUAAUGCGGAGGGGGCUAGCGUUGUUCGGAAUUACUGGGCGUAAAGCGCACGUAGGCGGCUUGGUAAGUUAUAGGUGAAAGCCUGGAGCUCAACUCCAGAAUUGCCUUUAAGACUGCCGAGCUAGCAGGUGAGAGAGGUAAGUGGAAUUCCGAGUGUAGAGGUGAAAUUCGUAGAUAUUCGGAAGAACACCAGUGGCGAAGGCGGCUUACUGGCUCAUACUGGACGCUGAGGUGCGAAAGCGUGGGGAGCAAACAGGAUUAGAUACCCGCGUAGUCCCUGUCUCUUAUAC